AAAAAAUUCUUUAAAGUAUAACACGUUAAUAUAUCACAUUUUUCAGAAAACGUGAAGGAGUGGAAUGAAAAACUGAUAAUAGUGGUUAUCAUUUCUACAAGAAAUCUACAGAUACAUUAAGUACAGGGACAAGUGCCAACCUACCAAGUUUCAAACAAACCAGAUCAGGGGUGAGAACUUUGGAUAUGCUGCAUUUGGACGGUUUCCUGUGAGGGGCAGAGAGAAGUUAUAGUUCUAACCAACGUGACCAUGUGGAG